GACGAACGCUGGCGGCGUGCUUAACACAUGCAAGUCGAACGGAAAGGCCCUGCUUUUGUGGGGUGCUCGAGUGGCGAACGGGUGAGUAACACGUGAGUAACCUGCCCUUGACUUUGGGAUAACUUCAGGAAACUGGGGCUAAUACCGGAUAGGAGCUCCUGCUGCAUGGUGGGGGUUGGAAAGUUUCGGCGGUUGGGGAUGGACUCGCGGCUUAUCAGCUUGUUGGUGGGGUAGUGGCUUACCAAGGCUUUGACGGGUAGCCGGCCUGAGAGGGUGACCGGCCACAUUGGGACUGAGAUACGGCCCAGACUCCAACGGGAGGCAGCAGUGGGGAAUAUUGCACAAUGGGCGGAAGCCUGAUGCAGCAACGCCGCGUGCGGGAUGACGGCCUUCGGGUUGUAAACCGCUUUCGACUGUGACGAAGAGUGAGUGACGGUAAUGGGUAAAGAAGCACCGGCUAACUACGUG
rnacentral:rRNA from 1 species